rnacentral:rRNA from 1 species
UACGAAGGGGGCUAGCGGUGUUCGGAUUUACUGGGCGUAAAGCGCGUGUAGGCGGGUCGUUAAGUUGGGGGUGAAAUCCCGAGGCUCAACCUCGGAACUGCCCUCAAAACCGGCGACCUGGACUCAAGCAGAGGCAAGUGGAAUUGCGAGUGUAGAGGUGAAAUUCGUAGAUAUUCGCAGGAACACCAGUGGCGAAGGCGACUUGCUGGGCUUGUAGUGACGCUGAGACGCGAAAGCGUGGGGAGCAAACAGG